AUUGUGAUAAUGUACUGUGUAUGCACUUUUCUCCACUCCUGAAGGACUAAACUGCGUUAAUAAUGUGAUUGAUAUAGUUCGUUUUGUUGCUUGUUGUGUCACUGAGACUUAUUGUUUGUUUGUCUUUUUAAUUUGUUACUUGUCCUGUUGAGAUUACAUAAAUUAUAUUAAGUUUGUUGAGAGUACCUUUUGUUUCUGGAUAUUUUUUCUCCAGUUUAGUUGUGUGUAUUGAGUAAUAAUUUUUUUAUUCUUAUUAUGUUGGUUAUAUGUUUUUUUACUUUUAAACUUGUUGUUUUUACCGGACCUUUAAAACAAAUAUAUGAAGACUUGUAAAAAUAACUAUAAAAUGAGUGACAAUUAGUAUUUGGGUCUUAAUAAGUUUUAAACGAAUAUAUGUAUUUCUCAUAAGAAGACAAUAGCGUUGGCAUGUUGACAUUGAGCAUGUAAGCUAUUUUUAUAAGACAAGAGGAGUGAGCAGGUGGAGAUGUUGUUGCCGCCUUUGUGUCUUUUGGGAUUGUCUCUUGUAUCUCAUGGUGUGGUUGUGUUUGUUUCUCUUUUAUUUGAUG
rnacentral:lncRNA from 1 species